rnacentral:rRNA from 1 species
UACGUAGGGGGGCAAGCGUUGUCCGGAUUUAUUGGGCGUAAAGAGCGUGUAGGCGGUUUGGUAGGUCCGCUGUGAAAAGUCCAGGGCUCAACCCUGGAAUGCCGGUGGAUACUGUCGGGCUCGAGUCCGGAAGAGGCGAGUGGAAUUCCUGGUGUAGCGGUGAAAUGCGCAGAUAUCAGGAGGAACACCGAUGGCGAAGGCAGCUCGCUGGGACGGUACUGACGCUGAGACGCGAAAGCGUGGGGAGCAAACAGG